ACGACGAUGGAUAGGGGUUCUGAGAGGAAGGUCCCCCACAUUGGAACUGAGACACGGUCCAAACUCCUACGGGAGGCAGCAGUGAGGAAUAUUGGUCAAUGGACGAGAGUCUGAACCAGCCAAGUAGCGUGAAGGAUGACUGCCCUAUGGGUUGUAAACUUCUUUUAUAUGGGAAUAAAACAGGGUAUGCAUACCCUCUUGUAUGUACCAUAUGAAUAAGGAUCGGCUAACUCCGUGCCAGCAGCCGCGGUAAUACGGAGGAUCCGAGCGUUAUCCGGAUUUAUUGGGUUUAAAGGGAGCGUAGGUGGAUUGUUAAGUCAGUUGUGAAAGUUUGCGGCUCAACCGUAAAAUUGCAGUUGAAACUGGCAGUCUUGAGUACAGUAGAGGUGGGCGGAAUUCGUGGUGUAGCGGUGAAAUGCUUAGAUAUCACGAAGAACUCCGAUUGCGAAGGCAGCUCACUGGACUGCAACUGACACUGAUGCUCGAAAGUGUGGGUAUCAAACAGGAUUAGAUACCCUGGUAGUCCACACAGUAAACGAUGAAUACUCGCUGUUUGCGAUAUACAGUAA
rnacentral:rRNA from 1 species